UGAGGAAUAUUCCACAAUGGGCGAAAGCCUGAUGGAGCGACGCCGCGUGAAGGAAGAAGGCCUUCGGGUUGUAAACUUCUUUUGUGAGGGAUGACACGGCCCCUAACACGGGCAUAAGACAGUACCUCGCGAAUAAGCCUCGGCUAACUACGUGCCAGCAGCCGCGGUAAUACGUAGGAGGCGAGCGUUGUCCGGAUUUACUGGGCGUAAAGCGCGCGCAGGCGGCACACCAAGUACAACGUGAAAUCUCCCUGCUCAACGGGGAGGGCGCGUAGUAAACUGGUGAGCUAGAGGACGGUAGAGGGGGGUAGAAUUGCUGGUGUAGCGGUGAAAUGCGUAGAGAUCAGCAGGAAUACCCGUGGCGAAGGCGGCCCCCUGGGCCGAACCUGACGCUGAGGCGCGAAGGCUAGGGGAGCGAACGGGAUUAGAUACCCCCGUAGUCC
rnacentral:rRNA from 1 species